UUGCAUGACGAGAAAAAUUUGAUUAGCUCUAGAUCAAGAGCUGCAAAUCGCAGCAGUGACAGACAUCACAUCAUCAUCUGAUUA
rnacentral:snoRNA from 1 species